CCUACGGGCGGCUGCAGUGGGGAAUUUUGGACAAUGGGGGCAACCCUGAUCCAGCCAUGCCGCGUGAGUGAAGAAGGCCUUCGGGUUGUAAAGCUCUUUCAGCCGGGAAGAAAUCGCAUCAGCUAAUACCUGGUGUGGAUGACGGUACCGGAAUAAGAAGCACCGGCUAACUACGUGCCAGCAGCCGCGGUAAUACGUACGGAACGAGCGUUCAUCGGAAUUACUCAGCGUAAUGUGUAAGCCAGCGGUGAAAUCCCCGGGCUCAACCUGGGAACUGCGUUUGUGACUGCACAGCUAGAGUAUGGCAGAGGGGGGUGGAAUUCCACGUGUAGCAGUGAAAUGCGUAGAGAUGUGGAGGAACACCGAUGGCGAAGGCAGCCCCCUGGGCCAAUACUGACGCUCAUGCACGAAAGCGUGGGUAGCAAACAGGAUUAGAUACCCCUGUAGUC
rnacentral:rRNA from 1 species